GCCAGUAUGGUAUAGUGGUUAGCAUGCACACUUUGGCUAUGUCAUGUGACAUUAUUGUAAAUCUUUUUAAAAUCCUGGGUUCAAUUCCUGGAGCUGCCA